AUGGGCAGCUUGCUCAAGAAAGGCAGGACUCGCCACCAGAUCAUUCUCCGGUGGCUGAUUUCGAGUGCGUCGGCUCGAUCUGCAACGGCCUUCCUCCACUCCAACGCCGUGCGGACGACGCCAUGGAAGGGCCACCAUGACCAGGAGCAGGACGACGCCUUGGAAGGUUCACCGACAGCAGCAGCUACGGUCCGGUCUUCUCCACUGACAGGGAUAUGGACAUGGAGGUCCGCCAUGGAAGGCCUGGAGCUCGUCAUGGAGGGUCCCUCCUCCCUCUUCCCCUCCCUCCACUCUGUUGGUUGGUUGGACGGAAGACCACCGCUUGUCCGGCUCUGCUUCUUCCACCGCUGCUCCCCUCCCACCAUUGUGCCAGAGACGCUGUGCCAAGCACGGAAGAUUCGGGCAGCCGCCUCGAUCCAGAGUGUCAUCGUGCUUGUAGAAUUGUAG
rnacentral:rRNA from 1 species